rnacentral:snoRNA from 1 species
CAGUCACUGUAGGAGGACAUCGUGUGUGGGAUCUGGUUUACUGUGGACAUGGCCAUCGACAAUUUCCCAGGAGGUUUUUGUCUUUGCUACCUUGCUAGCAUAUCACUAAUUGGGGACAUUG